GCUGGGCACGGUGAUACAUGCCUGUAGUCCCAGCUAUUUGAGAGGCUGAGGCUGGAGAUCUCUUGAGCCCAGGAGUUCUGGGCUGUAGUGCACUAUGCUGAUCAGGUGUCCGUACUAAGUUUCCCAUCAAUAUGGUGACCUCCCGGGAGUGGGGGACCACCAGCUUGCCUGACGAGGGGUGAACUGGCCCAGGUCAGAAACGGAGCAGGUCAAAACUCCCGUGCUGAUCAGUAGUGGGAUUGUGCCUGUGAAUAGCCACUGCACUCCAGCCUGGGCAACAUAGCGAGACCCUGUCUUUU
ensembl:misc_RNA Metazoa_SRP Metazoan signal recognition particle RNA